GCGGAUGUGGCGGAAUGGCAGACGCGCUAGCUUCAGGUGCUAGUGUUCGCAAGGACAUGGGGGUUCAAGUCCCCCCAUCCGCACCA
rnacentral:tRNA from 7 species